AUAUUGGACAAUGGGGGCAACCCUGAUCCAGCCAUGCCGCGUGAGUGAAGAAGGCCCUCGGGUUGUAAAGCUCUUUUGUCCGGAAAGAAAAGCUUCGGGUUAAUACCCCGGGGUUCUGACGGUACCGGAAGAAUAAGCACCGGCUAACUUCGUGCCAGCAGCCGCGGUAAUCCGAAGGGUGCAAGCGUUACUCGGAAUUACUGGGCGUAAAGCGUGCGCAGGUGAUUGUUUAAGUCUGAUGUGAAAGCCCUGGGCUCAACCGGGGAAUGGCAUUGGAAACUGGGCAGCUAGAGUGCGGUAGAGGGUAGUGGAAUUCCCGGUGUAGCAGUGAAAUGCGUAGAGAUCGGGAGGAACAUCUGUGGCGAAGGCGACUGCCUGGACCAGCACUGACACUGAGGCACGAAAGCGUGGGG
rnacentral:rRNA from 1 species